GUGGGGAAUAUUGGACAAUGGGCGAAAGCCUGAUCCAGCAAUGCCACGUGAGUGAUGAAGGCCUUAGGGUUGUAAAGCUCUUUUACCAGGGAUGAUAAUGACAGUACCUGGAGAAUAAGCUCCGGCUAACUCCGUGCCAGCAGCCGCGGUAAUACGGAGGGAGCUAGCGUUGUUCGGAAUUACUGGGCGUAAAGCGCACGUAGGCGGUUACUCAAGUCAGAGGUGAAAGCCCGGGGCUCAACCCCGGAACUGCCUUUGAAACUAGGUAACUAGAAUCUUGGAGAGGUCAGUGGAAUUCCGAGUGUAGAGGUGAAAUUCGUAGAUAUUCGGAGGAACACCAGUGGCGAAGGCGGCUCACUGGCUCGAUACUGACGCUGAGGUGCGAAAGCGUGGGGAGCAAACAGGAUUAGAAACCCGAGUAGUCC
rnacentral:rRNA from 1 species